AUACAGCAAAGGUGAUUCAAGAUACGUAGGCCGAGAUGCUGCAGUUGUUAGUGUUGAAGGGGUCACAGCUGUCAUAGAGGGGCCAGCGUGCCUUCUUGCAGUGUAUGCUAUAGCUACUAAGAAGGCAUACAGGCACGUACUUCAACUAUCCAUUUGUUUGGGGCAGCUCUAUGGCACGGCUAUAUACUUCAUAACAGCUCUUUUGGAAGGCGAUAAUUUUUCUACAAGCCCCUUCUAUUACUACGCUUACUAUGUCUUUGCAAAUCAUUUCUGGGUUUGGAUACCAAGUCUCAUAGUGAUCCACUGCUGGAAGAAAAUAUGUGCUGCUGUCCGCGUCCACGAGCAGAAGACCAAGACCCGCUGAGGUGAUUCUAAGCAUAGACAUCCAAAAGCCUCAACUGAAUAACAUUGUCACAUUUCUAUUUUUUUUGUAUGGUUGUUGAGUUUAAUUGUCUGCAUUAGAAACAAUACUGGAUUAUUAUCUCUGUUCUUGAAAUCUGCUCAUUCCUGCUGGAAAAAAUGUCAUUCUAUAUCUAUGUUCUCCGUCUAUAUUUCUUAGUUCAGCGUCUUGUAUACUAACACUACCAGG
rnacentral:misc_RNA from 1 species